rnacentral:rRNA from 1 species
CGUGUAGGCGGCCAGACAAGUCAGAGGUGAAAGCCCGGGGCUCAACCCCGGAAGUGCCUUUGAAACUGUUUGGCUUGAGUGCGGGAGAGGAAAGCGGAAUUCCCAGUGUAGAGGUGAAAUUCGUAGAUAUUGGGAGGAACACCGGUGGCGAAGGCGGCUUUCUGGACCGACACUGACGCUGAGGCGCGAAAGCGUGGGGAGCAAACA